rnacentral:tRNA from 1 species
GGGGGUGUAGCUCAGGAGUAGAGCGUUCGCUUCGCAUCACCUGUAUGCAAAGGCCCUGGGUCCGAUUCCCAGCUCCUCCA